rnacentral:tRNA from 1 species
GCGAGCGUGGCGGAACUGGCAGACGCGCCAGGUUUAGGUCCUGGUGGGGUAACCCAUGGGAGUUCGAAUCUCCCCGCUCGCACGA